AUGCCCUGGCCAGUGGUAAGAUAAGCAAAGGCUUCGGGGUGACGAUUCCAAAGUCUGCAGAUCGAGCCCGGUCAGGGUGA
rnacentral:pre_miRNA from 1 species